rnacentral:rRNA from 1 species
UGGGCGUAAGCGUGCGUAGGCGGCUUUUUAAGUCGGAUGUGAAAUCCCCGAGCUUAACUUGGGAAUUGCAUUCGAUACUGGGAAGCUAGAGUAUGGGAGAGGAUGGUAGAAUUCCAGGUGUAGCGGUGAAAUGCGUAGAGAUCUGGAGGAAUACCGAUGGCGAAGGCAGCCAUCUGGCCUAAUACUGACGCUGAGGUACGAAAGCAUGGGGAGCAAACAGGAUUAGAUACCCUGGUAGUCCAUGCCGUAAACGAUGUCUACUAGCCGUUGGGGCCUUUGAGGCUUUAGUGGCGCAGCUAACGCGAUAAGUAGACCGCCUGGGGAGUACGGUCGCAAGACUAAAACUCAAAUGAAUUGACGGGGGCCCGCACAAGCGGUGGAGCAUGUGGUUUAAUUCGAUGCAACGCGAAGAACCUUACCUGGUCUUGACAUAGUAAGAACUUUCCAGAGAUGGAUUGGUGCCUUCGGGAACUUACAUACAGGUGCUGCAUGGCUGUCGUCAGCUCGUGUCGUGAGAUGUUGGGUUAAGUCCCGCAACGAGCGCAACCCUUUUCCUUAUUUGCCAGCACUUCGGGUGGGAACUUUAAGGAUACUGCCAGUGACAAACUGGAGGAAGGCGGGGACGACGUCAAGUCAUCAUGGCCCUUACGACCAGGGCUACACACGUGCUACAAUGGUCGGUACAAAGGGUUGCUACCUAGCGAUAGGAUGCUAAUCUCAAAAAGCCGAUCGUAGUCCGGAUUGGAGUCUGCAACUCGACUCCAUGAAGUCGGAAUCGCUAGUAAU